AUAGAUCAAAGUCAACAGCCCAGAGAUCUUAAGUUGAUGAGAUGGGUUUAUCUUCCUUCUUCCGCCCUCUUAUAGUCUUCAUCUUGAUAAUUUCGGUGUUAGCCAUGCAGAUGACUCCAAUCUCAUGUGCAGAUUUGAAGCUGCGCAGAUUGGGCAGCAAACCCAUGCCAAACCCACCUCCUGCUCCAGCUCGAAAUAUCCCACCUCUCUAGCCUCUGAUUGAGCUGUCACCUUCACGUUUAUCAAAUCUUAAUACUAGAUAUGUAUUGCGUUUCAAAUAAAGUAUGCAUUUGUCAGAUUACUGUGAAAGAGAGUUCUCAGCAUGAUUAUUGUACUCAGAUAUUUAACUUCUGUUAAUUAAUGAAAUGAUAUUACCUUUUA